CCUACGGGUGGCUGCAGUGGGGAAUAUUGGACAAUGGGGGGAACCCUGAUCCAGCCAUGCCGCGUGUGUGAAGAAGGCCCUCGGGUUGUAAAGCACUUUCAGUGAGGAAGAACGCCUGGUGGUUAAUACCCAUCAGGAAAGACAUCACUCACAGAAGAAGCACCGGCUAACUCCGUGCCAGCAGCCGCGGUAAUACGGAGGGUGCGAGCGUUAAUCGGAAUUACUGGGCGUAAAGCGCGCGUAGGUGGCUUGAUAAGCCGGUUGUGAAAGCCCCGGGCUCAACCUGGGAACGGCAUCCGGAACUGUCCAGCUAGAGUGCAGGAGAGGAAGGUAGAAUUCCCGGUGUAGCGGUGAAAUGCGUAGAGAUCGGGAGGAAUACCAGUGGCGAAGGCGGACUUCUGGACUGACACUGACUCUGAGGUGCGAAAGCGUGGGUAGCAAACAGGAUUAGAUACCCGUGUAGUC
rnacentral:rRNA from 1 species